AAGAUCUGCCUUCACCUGAAGGAGGACCAACUUGAGUACCUUGAAGAGCGCAGGCUCAAGGAUUUGAUCAAGAAGCACUCCGAGUUCAUCAGCUACCCUAUUUCAUUGUGGAUUGAGAAGACCACUGAGAAGGAGAUCUCUGAUGAUGAGGAUGAAGAAGAAAAGAAGGAAGAGGAAGGAAAGGUGGAGGAAGUUGAUGAAGAGAAGGAAAAGGAGGAGAAGAAAAAGAAGAAAAUUCAGGAGAUUUCUCACGAAUGGUCUUUGGUGAACAAGCAAAAGCCUAUCUGGAUGAGGAAGCCAGAAGAGAUCAACAAGGAAGAGUACUCAGCAUUCUACAAGAGUCUUACCAAUGACUGGGAAGAGCACCUUUCUGUCAAGCACUUCUCAGUUGAGGGUCAGCUGGAAUUCAAGGCCAUCCUCUUUGUUCCCAAGAGG
rnacentral:lncRNA from 1 species